AGCAGUAGCCACGGGAAUACGGAGGGUGCAAGCGUUAAUCGGAAUUACUGGGCGUAAAGCGCACGCAGGCGGUCUGACAAGUCAGAUGUGAAAUCCCCGGGCUUAACCUGGGAACUGCAUUUGAAACUGUCAGGCUGGAGUCUUGUAGAGGGGGGUGGAAUUCCAGGUGUAGCGGUGAAAUGCGUAGAGAUCUGGAGGAAUACCGGUGGCGAAGGCGGCCCCCUGGACAAAGACUGACGCUCAGGUGCGAAAGCGUGGGGAGCAAACAGGAUUAGAGACCCCUGUAGUCCCUGUCUCUUAUAC
rnacentral:rRNA from 1 species